rnacentral:rRNA from 1 species
GACGAACGCUGGCGGCGUGCUUAACACAUGCAAGUCAAGGGGGCCCAGCAAUGGGCGACCGGCGAACGGGUGCGUAACACGUGAGCAACCUACCGAACUGUGGGGGAUAGCCGGCCUAACGGCCGAGUAAUACCGCAUACGCUCUCAGGGAGGCAUUUCUUUGAGAGGAAACCUACGGGACAGAUCGAGGGGCUCGCGGCCUAUCAGCUAGUUGGCGAGGUAACGGCUCACCAAGGCAACGACGGGUAGCUGGUCUGAGAGGAUGGCCAGCCACAUUGGGACUGAGAUACGGCCCAGACUCCUACGGGAGGCAGCAGUGGGGAAUCUUGCGCAAUGGCCUAACGGCUGACGCAGCGACGCCGCGUGUGGGAUGAAGCUCUUCGGAGUGUAAACCACUGUUGCCCGGGACGAACAGCUCGAUUUCUCGAGCCUGACGGUACCGGGUGAGGAAGCACCGGCUAACUCCGUG